GAUCCCAUCAGAACUCCGCAGUUAACGUGCUUGGGCGAGAGUAGUACUAGGAUGGGUGACCCCCGGGAAGUCCUCGGUUGCAUCCCUCCAUGCGAUCAUACCAGCACUAACGCACCG
rnacentral:rRNA from 1 species